rnacentral:rRNA from 1 species
UUUUUAGACCUUCCUGGAGGAGCUUGCUACGUAACCGAUAACCCACGAUACACCUUACCAAUCUUUGAAACAUUUCAACUUGUAUACCAUCGUCGUCAGUCUACUUCAUAAGAAAGUAUACAAAAAGAGUUGUCCUCUUAACGUCAGAUCGAGGUGCAGUUAAUAGAUUGGAGAUUAGUGAGCUACAAUAAACCCAUAAACCAAACACCAAUAUGAACAGCCUUAUGAAACAAAGCUUAAAACAGGAUUCAGCAGUAAUAUCUUAUCAGAAAAUAAGUAUGAAGCCUAGCUCUAAAAAGCGC